rnacentral:rRNA from 1 species
UACGAGUGCCUCGAGCGUUAUCCGGAAUUAUUGGGCGUAAAGGGUGUGUAGGCGGUCCUGUUAGUCUCCUGUAAAAUUCCCCGGCUCAACCGGGGGCGCGCGGGAGAAACGGCAGGACUAUAGAGGAUGGUAGGGGUCUGCGGAACUCAUGGUGUAGCGGUGAAAUGCGUUGAUAUCAUGGGGAACACCAAAAGCGAAGGCAGCAGACUGGACCACUCCUGACGCUGAAACACGAAAGCGUGGGUCGCGAAUGGG